rnacentral:rRNA from 1 species
UACAGAGGUCUUAAGCGUUGUUCGGAUUCAUUGGGCGUAAAGGGUGCGUAGGCGGCGCGGUAAGUCACCUGUGAAAUCUCCUGGCUCAACUGGGAGCUUGCAGGCGAAACUGCCGUGCUGGAGUGUGGGAGAGGUGCGUGGAAUUCCUGGUGUAGCGGUGAAAUGCGUAGAUAUCAGGAGGAACACCUGUGGCGAAAGCGGCGCACUGGACCACAACUGACGCUGAGGCGCGAAAGCUAGGGGAGCAAACAGG